AUUAAUGUAGUAAAAUUUAUUAUAUCAUCUUGAUAAGGUGAAGUUCUCUUGUGAGUUUUA
rnacentral:tRNA from 1 species